CUUGUUGGUGGGGUGAUGGCCUACCAAGGCGGUGACGGGUAGCCGGCCUGAGAGGGCGACCGGCCACACUGGGACUGAGACACGGCCCAGACUCCUACGGGAGGCAGCAGUGGGGAAUAUUGCGCAAUGGGCGGAAGCCUGACGCAGCGACGCCGCGUGGGGGAUGACGGCCUUCGGGUUGUAAACCUCUUUCGCCAGGGACGAAGAGCAAUUGACGGUACCUGGAGAAGAAGCACCGGCCAACUACGUGCCAGCAGCCGCGGUAACACGUAGGGUGCGAGCGUUGUCCGGAAUUAUUGGGCGUAAAGAGCUCGUAGGCGGUGUGUCGCGUCGGCCGUGAAAACUUGGGGCUUAACUCUGAGCGUGCGGUCGAUACGGGCAUCACUUGAGUUCGGCAGGGGAGACUGGAAUUCCUGGUGUAGCGGUGAAAUGCGCAGAUAUCAGGAGGAACACCGGUGGCGAAGGCGGGUCUCUGGGCCGAUACUGACGCUGAGGAGCGAAAGCGUGGGGAGCGAACAGGAUUAGAUACCCUGGUAGUCCACGCCGUAAACGUUGGGCGCUAGGUGUGGGGACCAUCC
rnacentral:rRNA from 1 species